rnacentral:misc_RNA from 1 species
UCCCGGUUGGCCCGGGCAGUCUCGCAUGAAAAAUACAACAUACGAUAAGGGUUGCGCUCGUUGCGGGACUUAACCCAACAUUUCACAACACGAGCUGACGACGGCCAUGCAGCACCUGUCACUUGGCUCCUUGCGGCACUCCUCUGUUUCCAGUGGAUUCCAAGGAUGUCAAGCCUCGGUAAGGUUCUACGCGUAGCGUCAUAUUAAACCACAUCAUCCUCCGCUUGUGCGGGUCCCCGUCAAUUCCUUUGAGUUUUAGCCUUGCGGCCGUACUUCCCAGGCGGCAUACUUAUCGCGUUAGCUUCGUCUCACAGGGGGUCGAUACCCCAUAAGACUAGUAUGCAUCGUUUACGGCGUGGACUAC